CCGGAGCGGGGCGGGCCGAGGCGCUGGGGCCGCCCCUCCAAAAUGGCGGAGCAGCAGCAGCAGCAGCAGCAGCAGGCAGCGGGAGCAGGAGCCGAGGGCUGCAAGGCGCUGGGCGCCCUGCUCAGCGGCAUCGCGCAGGCCGCCUACCACGGCAACGAGGCCCUGACGGCCGAGCUGCUCCGCGGGCAGCUCUACCCCGAGGCGGCGCCCGAGGAGUUCGCGGCCCUGCGCGCCAAGAUGGGCGGCCUCCUGCAGUCAAUUGCUUCAGCAGACAUGGAUUUGAAUCAGCUGGAGGCUUUUCUCACUGCCCAAACCAAAAAACAAGGUGGCAUCACAUCUGAUCAAGCUGCAGUCCUUGCAAAAUUUUGGAAGAACCACCGAGUAAAGAUCCACGAGAGCCUGGUAAAUCAAAGCCGUUGGGAUAACGUCUUGAAAAACAUGAACUGGAGAGUGGAUCUGAAGUCACAGUCAAGACACAUUGAUCAGAUAAAUACUCCAGUUGCAAUAGUAGAAAUGGAACUGGGAAAAAAUGGUCAGAGUUCAGCCUGGAAGGCAGCAUCUUAGAAGAAGUCAGCAUUGAGGAGCCUCUAAUGGAUCGAGUUAUGCUAGCCCGACUUAUUUGGUCUGAAGUAAUGAGGCAUGACAGAUCAUGAGUGCAAAGCAUCAUUUUCAAACCAAUAACCCCUUUCAGAAAAUUACAUUUCUGCUCUAAGCAGUCAUUUUGAAUUAUCUACAGCUAACUUUAAGCCGCCUGCUUUUAUGGAAAUGGAGCACCUGCGUUUCCCAAUAAAUAUCAGCGCGGUGCUUAGAGGCUGCUAUCAAGUACGACUGCCUGGGAAAAGCUCAAGUCUGAUCAAACUUAAUUACACUGGAACCUGUGUCUGCCUACAGAUAUCUUGAUUAUAUAACGAGAACAAACGUGACACUUGGCAGAACUGGCUUUUGUGGUACCUGCUGCUGUGAGGACUUGAAGAAGAGCUGUUGGUUCACACGCUGUCUCUUACUUGUGGUGCGGGCACUGGCACUAGCGUCUUCUGGUAUCGUGUUUCUUACUGUCUCUUUCCACAGCAGGAGAAAAGAUAAUGAUUGAAUCCAGUAGACUUCCGUGUACUAAAAUGUCUUAAAAUGCCUUUUUUUUUUUUUCUCCCACUGUGGUCUUCAGGACUGUGGGCCUGAAGUUUGGCGAGGUAAAUCCCACCCAGGCUCUGAAAUGAAUCAUGAUUAAAUGGUGGCUUGACAACAACCCCCUGGACGAACAGCAUGGGUAAAAAACAAAAACAAAAACCCUUGCUGCUUUGUUCAGCUCAGGGCAGCUGGGCAAGCUGCUGGCUCAGCCCUCAUUUUCUAGGAAACAACCAGAGGAGAAGGGCAGCUCUUCCCUUUACACUGGGGGAAAAGUACUCGAGUGGAUGUCAUUGAACUCAGUGCUGGGUGACAGUGACCUGUUUGGUUAAAUUGAAACUCUCAGGGUAAGAUGAAUGCGAGAUAUAAGUGAAAGGACAAAUAAAGCCUCUUUAAACAUGUGGCUUUUUAAAGCUGCAUUAAACAAGCAUCGAGUUUCAGAGGAGAAGCAUUUACAGGUUUAAGCAUGCCAAACACAACCUGUGACAGGUCUGGUGCUGAUAAGCAGUGAUCCAAGAGCACUGAAAUGCCAUAAUUAGCUGAGUGUUGUUUGUGACCUAGCUGCUUUGGGUCAUAACACUUCCCUCUGCAAACACAUUGAAUUGAGCUUAGGGGACGGCAGGGAAGAGUAAACAGGAGGAAGACAAUACCCCCAGCUAAGAGCAAGGCUCUGAACCACGGCAGACAAACAGAUGGGUUUCAAGGACCUAAAGCUUCUGUCUGCAGCGGGGGGAAAGGAGGCUUUAGGCACCACUUCUCUUUGCCAGGGCAUUUUGGAAGAGGGCUUUUGCAGCUGAAGUGCUGCCAACCAUGCCGGGAAGAUUGCUGCCAGGAAAACCUGUGCCGACGUCCAGCUCCCACCGCCACAGCUUUGUUUUCAGCCCUCUACCCAGGUGUUCAGAGAGAAGCUGUAGCCUUGAAUUUAACUUUGCCUUCCAAAAAAUCCAAUUAUCUGCAUUGUCACGCUGUGCGUGUAUUUGCAUAGCCAAAGAAAAACCCCACACAGAAAAAGGUGGUGAGGUAAUGGGCGAUAGCUGAACAGCAGAGCCAUGUGAGGAUGAGCAAAGCAAAUUCUUCGCGUCUGGCACUGGGACCGGGGACAAUUGCAGUUUGCUGGUGGUAUCCCCAGUGGUUGGUUUUUAAAGCUUCGUUUUUUGUUUCUGCUCUUCCCACCGUGCAGAAUGCUUUGUUUUUGUAGUGUUUCUGGGGAAUCACAAGAAAGUAAGGUUAAAUUCUUUCAGGACAAGUUCAUUGUAUUUGACCUGGAAAAAGAAACCUUUUUGUGCUUAUCUCCGAAGUGCAUUUUAAAUGUAAACGGAAGAAAAACAACAGACAAUGAAGGAGACGGUGUUAUUUCUGUCAUUUGAUAUUCUGCCUACUGUCACACAUGCACAUGCAGUAAUUUAUCAUUGCUUUUGCAGCUGAGUAAUGUUAGUUUAAUGCCCAGAGUACAGCAUUUAUAAAUCAACUCUGCAAAGUGCUAUUUAUUUUUUUUUGUAAUGUGUUUUUUUACAUGUGGUUAACGCUCGGUUUGGCAGGGUCGCUGGUGGGCAUACAUUUCAGAAGACACUGGUGUGCAUGUGUGUGCAAAGCCUGGGAGGGAAAAUAAGAGGUUUUCCCUUUUGUUGCAGCAUUUGUGCAGUUGUGGGUCAGAUGGCACUCUCUUCUCUCAGUUCCUUACAGCAGGGAAGGAGGGGUUUUGCUACCAAGCUCAGAUGCUCUCACGUUGGCUUGCCAGGUGCCUCGUGAAGGAGGCGUAGCGGUGAGGAGGAUCUGCCGAAGGACUGGAACAGUGUCUCCUUUAUUUGUGGUAUUUAAAUUUAGUUCUUUUUGGCCUUGAUACAUGAAAAACACAGGCCUGAUCUCUAAAACUUAGUCUGCCUUAGGGUGACCUGAAUAAAUAAAGCAUUCAGCUCGUUCACGUGGGAAGGAUUGGGUCUUCUAUUGUUUGCUUGGCAUUGAAUCGAAGUCCUUGUUACAGCACCCGAUUGUAAAGUCACGUCUCCCAAGAAAGACGUUUUUGUCUGGUGAAGUGCAGAGGGCUCAAGCGUUGCGAGCAAUCCCCUCCUGCCAGCUGGGCAGCAGUUGCAGACACUUGGUUUUCAACGUUUCGCAUUCAGGACUAGGCUGGUAUCUGGUCAGGGCUAUUUCCAGCAACCGCUCGCCGAGUUAACUCUCAAAGUGCCUGUGCUGGUUUACAAAUUGCUUCUUGGAAAAUGGUUUGGGACGGGGUGUGUUUGCCCAGAGACGGGGCUUCUUUUGCCAAGGCUUCCCUUCCUCUCGAACAAUUAAUGACUGUUUGCUGCAGUGAGGUUUUGAGACUCCCUGGUUCGGGUUGCAGGGAGGUGUGAGGAGAUUUGCUCAGCUCCUGGCUAUGUGCGGGUGGAGUUGUCCUUCCCAUUUCUUUAGGUGCAGAUGACACGACCAGAUAGCACCCCUAACCAAUCCUAAAUCCUAAAAUGUUGUUUUUCAUGCCAGUAUCUCAAAAAUGAUGUGGCAGGGGUUUUAUUAGCAAUUAGGCAUUCUGCUUUGAAGUUCCACAGCCCUUUGAUUUACGGGCAGUUUCUGGUGAGAUGCAGAGUGUUCUGGUGAGAUGCAGAGUCUUCUGAACUUACCUCAGACUCACCCGGGCACCAGACAUUGCCUCUUCAUUUAGAAGUCAUCCUUGUCAAGAUUGCGAGGUGUCUUUCAGUGAUGCUCUUCCCUCGGGUUCUGCUGGGCUUAAGUCUCCCACACGUUUUCUUGCACUGCAGGUUCACGUUCACAGGCCCUUAGUCUGUGCUCCCGAAAGCUGUUUCCAUCACUGCCCCGGGGUGGGGGUUGUUGCUGUGCAUUAUAAACAG